UACUCAGGUGAUCCAGGAUCUGGAUUUAAAAAAUUCCUGUUUGUCUUUGUUCUGGGACACAGUUCAUUUUGAAAUAACUUGAUCCUUUUAAGGCUUUCUUUCCAGACACUUGGGUGGGACUAGUGCAGCCAUGAGCAUCUAUUUUCUCAUUACCAAGCUCAUCCCUCUCCAGCGCACCGCAGAUCACAAAUCCAUUGCGGCUCAUGGGAACGUGGACAAUUCCUGGCCUUCUGUGAACUCCAGGGGUCAUUUUCUCUUCUCCUGCUGGGUGAUGCUCUUCCCCACCCGCAGGCAGUUUCCUCAGGGACACAUGCUGGUCAGUCUCCAAGGGAUGCUCUGGGAGGACCCCACAGCAGGUCUCCAGAGCUGGCUCUCUGUGCGGCCCUCUCUGCUGGGAACUCUAACUCCUCUGGCCUUCCUACAUUAUUAGUUCCAUCUCAAGGUCAGUGCCUGCUGGGGUCCACCUGGGCCUCCCCUUCCCUGGUCCGAGCCAGGCGGGUCUCACUCCAGGUCUCACUCAGAGAUCGCUGUCCUGUUUUGCCUGUGUCUGACGUCAGAAAACUGUAGUUCUGUCUCUUUUUUUUUUUUUGCUUUUUGAAAUGGGAGGGUUCCCCAGCCCUGUCACCCCAUCUUAGGCUAGUAUAAGUGUCCUUUCUGUUCUCUUCCUUCUGAUGGCUCCUCUUUGUCAUUCUCUUCUGCACACUGGAAGAAGCCAUCAAAUUUGUACCCACACCAUCAUCUCUUUUUCCAGCAUCUGCCCUGCCCUGCGGUGGAGAUGUUGCAAUGGCUAUGGUUUCAUCCUGUUGUCCUUUCAUUUUAGCCUGUUGUCCCCUUAAGACUUUCUGAUUCCAACUGAAAGGUGCAAUUCACUGCAUUUUCCUAAAUAUGUGGUUUUCUUCCCUGAAGUCUCUUCCAAUCCUACACACUCCCACUUCCAAUGUCCUGUUCAUCCUGCUUGAUAUUAUUUCUUCUCUACAGAAUCCACAGAAUCUUUCCAGCUUCCUCAGACUGUUCGGAUUUGGCAUGUGCAAGCUGAUGGACAGAGGUUUGCUCUCCUGUGUGGUAGCAGGUGCCCCCCACAGCUCUUGCCUUGCUGAAUGGCAUGCCCAGCUCCUGGUGACAGGACUGUCUUGAGCAGACUCGCUAGUGUACUUGUGCCCCAAAGCUCCUGGAGGAUGUACUCCAUGUGAGUGAUGGCAUUGUACUAAGCUCUUCAGUUACUGUGGGAUGGCUAAGGUCCUGUGCUCCUCAUGCCACCUGACACCUGGGACAGGCAGUACUGCAUAUGGAAGCCUGGGCAGGACGAGGAUGCCCUGGGAACUGCCCAUCUGCCUGUAAGGUAGGCUUCCCAGUGGCGGCACCACAUGACCUGAAUGAUCUUGAAAGGACACGCAAGACAGCUGUGGAGCUCAUCACAAGGCAUGGAAGCACUCUGAGGCCAGGCAGGGUCAUCAGGGCAGGGCUGGCAGAGUGGACAGGUGACCAGUGACAGUGUGCUCCUACGCUAAGCCCUGGGGGCUUAUUUUGGAGGUAAUGGGAAGAUGUGGCUUGGUGAAAGGCUUGGUGAAAGCCCUCUGGCGGCAAAGUGGGGAGGACGUGGAGGCCAUCCCACCAGUUUGUUCUGGUCUCACUGGCAUGUCGGCCAGGUCUCCCUCCGUCGUGCUGCUCUCCUGCAUCAACUGUGGUGUUUUACACACCUCACUGGUCUGGCAAGGCGCACAGCAACCACAGUGGGAUCCAUGCUCACUGGACUCCACCUGCUCCCGAUCCAUCAAGAAACAGCCCAGGGAGACAGGUUGUCUCUUCUCAGACUCACUUGAGGCUGAAACGCCUCAGGAACAGGAUACUGGCUCUUCACCCCGGGACUGCCCCCACCUUACGGCUCCUCAGCCUUACCCUGGUUGGGAGUGGGGGGUGGAGGGAAGGACACAGGUGAACAGGGCUCUUGAGGUUGGAAUGAAUUUUUAAAGAGAUGUUUGGGAAGAACAACUGACGAGUACCACGUGGUGUGCAUGGGAGCGGAGUGGGGAGCCAGGUCAAUGCGGUCUGACCCCAAGAGGAUAAAAACCCAACACCGGAAACUGCACAAGACAAGUCAAUCCUGUGAGGCCAGAGACUGAGCAGACUCCCUCUGCGCGGGGAGGAAACACUGCUGGGUGUGAACUAUGGACCAGUGGCUCGACGGGGAGGCCACACAAGGUGCUAUGCCAUCCAUGGGUAGUUUUCCUGGCCAAUGGCCCCUGACAAUUACCGCACCCGCCCUACCGUGCUGGGGCCCGGAACCCAGUCUCUCCUCGAGCACUGGGAACACUUGGGCAAGCUCUUCUUCCAGAGGGCCCUGACGUAAGCCAAAAAGUGAACUUACUGAAGAACUCUGGCUCAGUGAACUUGGCAAUGAAAAUGAAUGAGCCCUAAGGUGGAUUAAAAAAAAGAUUAUAAUUCAGUCCUUUAUACAGCUUAACAUGAAUAAAUAGACAUUAACAAGUGAGGUCCCCAAAUGCCUUCAUCACUGGUUUUUUUUUUGUUUAUCACUGGGCUUUUUGAAGAACUUUUUUCAAACCACAAUUCUUUCAUCAGUUUUGGUAACCCACGGAAACCCAGGGCAUGAGUGGGGCCUUCACUGGGCACCACAGAAGCCUGUGAAUUACCUGCUGUUACUUUGAGGGAGGAAAGGGGAGAAAGGGAGUGCUCUCAUUUUACAGGUUCUUUGGCAAAGGGAAAGGAAAAAACGUUAUUUUGCUAAGACUAUUAGCAUUUUGCUAGACACACUUUCAUGAAGAAUAAUGAACUUAUGACAAACCUGAUUUUCCAAGGAGAAACAUUUUUUAAGUGGAUGAAGUGAAAACGCUCCUGGAAUAGACCGUACUUGCUGGAAGAGUUUCGUUAAAGGCUGCAAUUGGUGGCUAACCAAUUUUACAAAUGGUUGGAAGUUUACAUUAAACAAAUUCUGGUAGAUUCUGAUAAAUCUGCAAGAAGUCUGAUUUUGUAGGAUUUUGCGAUUUUUUUUUUUUUCACAUCAACUUUUUAAAAGGCUGUGAGAGGUAACAGAGCAACCCUAGAGAACAGCGGGUGUGUCCUUUGAACAAGUUUAACAGAUCUUACAGAUGGCCACUGCCUGGAGUUUGUUCACCCUCUGGGAUUUUGUUGUUGUUGUUGUUCAACUCCAGAGCCCAGCAGAAGGGCUGUUCCAUCUGUUUCCGAUGCCAUCGGAGGAAGACAUGCUGGCUCUGCUCCCAGGUGGCCCGGACUCUGUGGACUGGUCUGGGGGCAGCCAGGUCAUGACUAGCAUGCUUUUGCCUCCCGUACCCAAGACGGUGUGGAAGUUUGGCAGACUAAGGGCACAGGAAAAAUGAAAUGUUUAAACUAGUAAAUACCAAGGUAUAUAUUCCUUUUAAAGACUGUAUGUUCAAACUAUUUUAGAUCCCGCAAAUGCGCUGAACCAGCUCUCUACAAAGCUUUCUCAUGAGCUUCGGUCACAUGACUGCUCUAGCAGGUGCCAAACCCAGCUUCAUCUGCAAUGGCAGAAAUCACAAACAGCCCUCUGAGCCUGUCAGUGCUUGUAAAUGAUAGGAGAUGAAUCAGGGGGUCUUGUUAAGCAGAACCCAAGGCACUGCCCUGAGCCAGAGCUCUGCCAACACUCCAAAUACAGUGAAUGAAAACACAGAUGAGGAGCAAAGGACGCAGACGCGUUAGCACUUGACACUGGAGCCAUACACUCGCCCCAGCUCCUUAUGACUUUGAAGGGAGGUAAUUUGCAGGUGGUGUGCUUGAGGGAAGGGGAGAUGUGAGCCUUUCCUUCUGACAAGUCUAUCCGGGAACUGCUUCCUCCUGAGUGCGCCCGAAAAACAUGCUGCCAACCCAUCAAAUUCUAAGCAGCAGAGUUAUGGGGACACAAGUGGACAUUGGAGAAAUCUUGGAGCUUCACGUCCCAAGGGCCUGCUCCACUCCCAUCUGGCUCAGUACACCCACCCUGGGAAGACAAGAAAUCUAUUAUCACCGGGCUGGUGGAACACAUGAUCCAGAACCUGAAAACAGCUGUCCCUUCCAUUCCUUUACCUACAACACCCGUUAUUUCCAUUCACCUGUGGGCGCUGAUGUCCCUUCUUCACCUCCAUCUGCACCCCCAGCUGUGCAGCCUGGGAGCUGCCCCAACAGCUGUGAGGGGCGUCAGGACUCAGGAAGACUGACCUCAUAAUCAGACUGUAUUAUAAAUUAAGAACAACAAUCCAGACUGGGCAGAUGGAAGACAGGGGAAUCCAGAGGUCAAAGGAGGCUGUCCGUGAACUUGAGUGUGCCAGGCAGGCAGCAGGUGAAAACCAUACAAACAUUUAUUUUGCAUUUGAUUUCACUCGUUGAGAUGUCUAAAUGCUGGAGUAAUCCAUCUGCCUCCUUAGUGUUCUUACCCAGCAUGGGCCUGCUGGAAUACGGACGGCUACGUGCUGCUGCUGCAUCUGAUUCCUGGCCCCCAGACCGCCCGGAAGCACAGCAGUCUCAGAAAGCCACAGGUACUGUCUCAGUGACUUCACACACUGGUGGCUGAUUGCUGAGGUACCCCUCCUGUCCCUCAGUACAUGAGGCUCUGACUCUCUGGCAUUGCCCACUGGCUCACAACCACAAGCCUGCUGUGCAAACACCAAGUCCCUGGCCGGUCUGGGCUCCCACCAGUUUCCUCUGGGCAGCAUGUGAGAAAGGGCUCCCUGCCUUUUUCCUUUCCUUUCUCUUUUUCAGUUAUCAUCCAGAUCUAGCUUCCAAGGGUUCCAAGACUUCCUCAUCCCAUCUGGACCCAAAAGCAAGAGCUGAUUUUAAAAGCCAAAUUCUUGUUUCAUUUGGACAGAAGGAAUAAUGUGUCUUUCAUAUUUUCUUUGUAUUUCUCUUCAAUAGUUGCUUGACCCAACAUCUUUCUGUCUGCUCUAUACAAUGAAAAUACAAACUAAAUG